UGCAGAAGAAGAGAGUUCGGUGGCUAUGGCGGUGUCAGUGUGCGUGUGGCCGGCACCGCGCCCGUCCGCGCACCGCUCCCGACUCGUUCGGGCUUACUCGCCCGAUCUCGCCCGGUCCGUGUCGUGGGGCUACUUACACCCUUUUGACUCCUUCCGCAGCCCAUAUUAAGAAACCGGUUUCUGUCAGUCUGUCUGUCACCGGGCUACUAUUUCUACACAGUUAAUGUUGUUCAUAUGUGACUGGCAAUGGCUUAGUUAUAAAAUAACGUAUCUUGUGCUUUGAGACACUGUAGGUAUGUGAUAUGAUUGCAAUGGAAGUAAUCAAUAGCUUAUUAUUGAUGAGGAAUGUGUUGAUUCCUUAUGGAACUACUCAUUGGGAUGUACGCGUUUACACAGCAAACUGGUCGAUCGAGUUAAGGUGUGGAGAUAGAUUGCCAGCAGUCGUUUCAGUGAUAGUCUAAGGCAAGGCACACCUGUACACAUUAGACCUACUUACUCAGUGACGUCAUAAUGAGUAAGUGACGUCACAGCCAGUCAUAACGUGCGAGCGAAAUAGCCACACCCCCUGGAUCUGACGUCAGAGCUUUUUCGCCAGUCCUUAAGACAGGCGCCUCAGUCAGUGGGUGCCGUGUUCGGUGAAAAUUUAUGCGGUUUGAUGCUCUGCAAUUCGCUAAAGUGUGUUUGCUAGAUCCUACAUAAGUUUGGUGUUUAUUGUUGUGAUUGUGCAGCAGAUGAAGGUGAUCCAGUUCAUUAUAGCGUUAAAGCGAUCAUUAGUGUUUUCUAGUGAGGAGUAAAUUAGAAAAUAAAGUAAAUCCUAAGUUUAAGUGUUUGUGCAACGUGUUGUCAUUCAUUGUUUGUGAAGUGCUAGCGUGUUUUUAGUGUGCUAGAAAAAUAAAUCGUUGUUUAGCUCAUCGGUGGAAAUAUUUAUCGUGAGUGGAUUGCUUUGAUCUGUGGAGUAGUAUAAGUAUCAUAUAGCUCUUGUACCGUGUCGUUUCCUUUUAUUUAGAAAUAUUAAGAAAGUAAUAAUGCUUAUUUAGUGUUAAGUGCUGGAAUCUCCUCAACUCCUUAUUUACUGGUCGGUGGCUCUGGCUUCUUCCCAGGCAAGGUCACGCGCCCAGACCCGCUUCAUCAGCUGAUUCUCCUUGGACACCCAACCCUCUAACCGACCUUUGCGAAGCGAUAGCUUAGCUCUUAUUGGAUUUCCUCCUCUUAGAAGCAAAAGCUAUUUUCUAGCUUUCUUUUUCUCACAAGAGACAUUCUUACCUACUCUUUCAGAAAAAGCAUUCGAUUAAAGUUUCACACAGUCACUGGCUUACGGGAAGAUAAAAGAAAAUAUUCUUAAAGUCAUCCCUCGUAAUCGUUCCUAUCAAGGACGUUUGAGAGUGUAAGGCUAUCUAUCUAUCUAUCUAUCUAUCUAUUUCUCAACCGGCGAGAGAACUUCGGCGGACUUUUGCCAGCCCCAGAAGUCGUGGUUGGCAGCAUCUGAGGUUUCUUUUCCCUUCAGGAAGUUUUCUGACAUCUCGGCUUGCCCUUCCUCCUUCAAGCUCUUGGUCUGACAAAGUUUAUUAACUUAAUUGAUUUAAAUUCUGUUCUUCAAAAAGGAACAGCAUUCUGCAUUGGUUUAUUCUGGUAACCUUUUUCAUUUCACUGGAUAAAUAGCAAAAUUACUUUCUGCAAAAAUAUUUGAAGGUUGUCAAAAAGAAGUACCAACAGAUGAAUAUGAAUUAGAAAUUUUUAAAAGGGACAAUUAUUAUUCAAAAUUCACCUUAAACUUUCCAGUUUUGUGUCGAAAUUUCAGUGUGAUCUUUAAAUUUUUGAAAUAUUAAAAAAUGAGACUUAUUCCCGGAUUGAGCCAGUUUCGAGAUAAAAUUUGAAGCUGAAGGAAAAAGAAAACUGACGAAGUUAAAAUGACACCGAGGACUACUGCCACUUCCUUUAACGAAAAGUUCGAAUUGAGAGGACUUCUAGAGAGCAGUGGUACUAAUCGAAGUUGUAUGGUCAUAUGGAGGAAAUUCCCGUAAAAUUCCGCGACUUUUAGACAUCAAGAUUCGGUCAUGAGUCGCUGAGGCGGCGUCAGUGAAUGACAAGGAAACCGAAUAAAGUGGAAAGGAGUAAUGAAAAGUUGAAGCCUUCGUAAUCUAAGACAGCAAGAGUAGGUUGUCGAUUAAAUGCAAUACUGAAUAAAUAGCCAAAAGGAAGUUGAGCUCAGAAAAAGUUUCGAAAAAUAACUGCAUUUCAAAGUUUGUAUUCGAAAGGAAGGGUCCCCCAAAACUAAGUCCCCUGGUGUAGUUAUAUGAGAACAAGGUGGCCUAUUGAUAGAAGAAAGUGAUUUUGACGAGGAAGACGAAGCCAUAACAGACUGUCCUCUGGUUAAGGUAAGACAUAUUCAGAAUCUUUAUUUUCAUUUGUUGAAUUUUCCUCAUAUUCUGCUCUGUCAGUUUACUCUUUACUA